GAACUUCGCACGAUUUUCAAAGAAAAGUCUAUUUUGGAGUCCACACUUUUCAGACCGCGAAAAAAUUCUCCGGACUGCUUGGUGUACGUUUGCCUGCAUGAUGGAGUUGGCUUAGAGGUCUGCAGCUUAUUAAAGAAGUUAAUACAAUAUGAUAUUGAAGUCACCGCGGGACAUAACGUUAUAGAAGAAGUUUUUAAAGUUUCCAUUUGACCUUCAGGACAGUUGGAACAACAGAAUGCAGCCUGACAGCAUCAGACCAGUGAAGGCAUGUCAUAUGAAAGCAUGGCUCAGUACAAGAUGCAAGUAUUUCUCAUUAUCUAUAUACCAUGGUUUUAAUGGCUUACAUACUAUUUUAAAUUUGUAGGUUUUUACUUACAAACAACAAUAAAUGUACACAUAUAUGUUUCAAAUUAUUUUCUAGGUAUUCAUCGAAAAAUGAGAGAUCAACUGAAGAAUGCUAUGGUCCUGACUCUAAGGUACCCUUUCUAAAUUUUCUCUACUUAAUUAAUAUUAUUAAAUUCUAGCUUUGUAUGGAUUCCUUCAUAUUUGUUUGGAU